CGUUGGAAGAAGUAGCUUUAGCGACUUAGUCUUGUUUUGUCUUCAGUGUGCAACAUGCAUGAGAUGGAUGAAUUAGGUUCAAACAACUGGAAACCGCCUUGACAAAUACCCUAACAGGCUGCGGUUUAAAUAAAGCCAGCGAUGCAUCGUGGAAGGUAUCGGAGCCAUCCGUCUUUUGAUAUUCAUACGAAACUCCCGCAACGAGACGGUGAUAUGAUCCAGGAUAGACAGUUGCCACAAUCCAUACAGAGCAUGUGGUAUCAGGUCUGGCGAUGUGGAAGACUGGACUUCAGUUACCUGAGACCACUUCAGUGUAAUAUCUGUGUCUAAGUGGAUGGCUGAUCUGUAGAACACUGGACAGUAUUCAUUCUGUGAAUCAAAUAUAACUCAAAAUACAGAUUUAAAACGCUGUGGCAGAUUCAGACAGUCACAAUGGAUAACCAUUUUACAGUUUGUACAAUCAAGAUGGGGGAGACACAAAGCAUGGGUGCUAGGCAACCUUUUAUGUAAUUUUAUUUGAGUAUCAAAAGCAU